rnacentral:tRNA from 1 species
GGGGCAGUAGCUCAGUUGGGAGAGCGCAGCGUUCGCAAGCUGAGGUCAGGGGUUCGAUCCCCCUCUGCUCCACCA